UACGGGGGGUGCGAGCGUUGUCCGGAAUCACUGGGCGUAAAGGGCGCGUAGGUGGUUUGAUAAGGGUGUGGUGAAAGUCCGGGGCUCAACCCCGGAUCUGCCGUGCCGACUGUCAAACUCGAGGGCUGUAGAGGCAGACGGAAUUCCGGGUGUAGCGGUGGAAUGCGUAGAGAUCCGGAGGAAGACCGGUGGCGAAGGCGGUCUGCUGGGCAGUUUCUGACACUGAGGCGCGAAAGCGUGGGGAGCAAACAGG
rnacentral:rRNA from 1 species